rnacentral:lncRNA from 1 species
UUGCUGUGACGUUUGUUUGCGUGUUGAUCACCCGUUUUCCCGUCCACACACGUAUCCUCGUGUAGAUGUCCACCAAGUACCAUACGAUGUUUUUUUCCGGGCCACUGCUACGAUUUGUGCAAUUACAACCGCACGAUGGAUUUCUCCUUCCUCAACUACUUCGUUAAAAAAUAAAAGAAAAAUAGUCAUGGCGCAUGUGAUACAGGCAGUCCGUGAACUCCCCAGAACCCAGCCAGCUCGCCGGCCACCCUGGCCCGCUUGCCUCGCCUGCCGGUCGCCGUCGUCGCCGGUGGUUGGCUGGCCGCCGUCCUCUAGCCAAAAAAUACAUGGUUCCAACAAACAAAAAGCUUGUGUCCAGCAAAAACAAUGUAAGGUUCCAGCAAAAAUAAAUGGAUCUCGUCGCCGGUGGUCGCCCUCCUUGGAGCUUGCAUCAUCUGUCCUCUAGCAUGUCGUCGCCAUCGUAGCACCUGCAGCUCGAAAACAUGCUGCUUCCAAUAUACAACAACCAUGGUUGUAGCAUCCCAGCGUCCUCAUCUCCGGCUCGCCGUCCUUGUCUUCCACUGCCAUGUCCAGCAACAAAAAACCUUCAGUACUUGGUUGAAGCAAAAAGGUUUGCUGGUUCCAGCAAAACUUACCGAUGGUUCCAGCAAAAAUCCCAGCGGCAAAAAACUCGGAUAAUCCAUUGUAGCAAACAAAUUAGCCAGUUCCGGCAAAAGAAAAGGCUGGUUCCAGCAAAAAUCUCAGCGGCAAAAAACUCGGAUAAUCGAUUGUAGCAAACAAAUUAGCCAGUUCGAGCAAAAGAAAAUGCUGGUUCCAGCAAAAUAAAAACAAUAGAGAAAAACACUAGUGCCGAUAGCAGCAAUAAUAAGGGCCAAUUCCAGCAAAAACAAACGCUGGUUCCAGAAAAAAAAUGCUUCGUGUGGCGACGCGCGUCCGAUUCCAGCAUAAUCACCUACCGGUCGGUUCCAGCAUCUCCUACCGAGGUUCUCCAUGCGCAGUAACACCUCCAGCUCGCCAUGUCGUGCGUCCCCAUGCGUAGCCGGCCGCCCCACAUCGAAGCACAUCACCUAUGUUGCCGCCUCACAGCCCGACGACGUGGGUAGAUGUGGGGGAAGGAGAGGAAGGAGAUAGGUGAUUGUGGAGGGGUUGUCUAACGGGAGAUGAGAGAAGAGAUGUCUCUCCAUGGCGGCUGAUGUAGGAGGAGGUAGCAUCCGCGGGAUGGGCUGAGAGAGAGAGAGAGAGAGAGAGAGAGAGAGAGAGAGAGAAGGGAGAGCAUCCGCGCGUCUAAGAAAGAAUAAGGGGAACGAGUGGCUAGCGAUCGCAGUGCAAAAGGAUA